CCUGCUCAAUGAAUAUUAAAUAGCCGCGACAUUCGUGCUAAGGUAGCAUAAUAAUUUGUUCCUUAAAUAGGAAAUAGUAUGAAAGAAUAAACAUUUAUAUUCUAUAAUUUUAAUUUAAUUUUAAACUAUACUAAAGAUUAAAAUAUCUUUAUUAAAAAGGAAGACGACAAGACCCUAAAGAACUUAACUGAAAGAUUAACUGGGGAAGUUAUAUAAACAUAAUUUAUUGUUUAAAAUUACAAUUUAAGCUUAAAAGAAAUUAAACAAAGUUACCAUAGGGAUAACAGCGCAAUUUAUAUUACAAGAUCCUAUAAAAAUAUAAACUUACGACCUCGAUGUUGAAUUAAUAUUCCUAUAAUAAGUAUAAAUAUUAUAAGAAAGUCUGUUCGACUUUUAAACUAUUACAU
rnacentral:rRNA from 1 species